rnacentral:rRNA from 1 species
GGGCAAUCUGCCCUGCACUCUGGGACAAGCCCUGGAAACUGGGUCUAAUACCGGAUACUGACCCGCUUGGGCAUCCAAGCGGUUCGAAAGCUCCGGUGGUGCAGGAUGAGCCCGCGGCCUAUCAGCUUGUUGGUGAGGUAAUGGCUCACCAAGGCGACGACGGGUAGCCGGCCUGAGAGGGCGACCGGCCACACAGGGACUGAGACACGGCCCAGACUCCUACGGGAGGCAGCAGUGGGGAAUAUUGCACAAUGGGCGAAAGCCUGAUGCAGCGACGCCGCGUGAGGGAUGACGGCCUUCGGGUUGUAAACCUCUUUCAGCAGGGAAGAAGCGAAAGUGACGGUACCUGCAGAAGAAGCGCCGGCUAACUACGUGCCAGCAGCCGCGGUAAUACGUAGGGCGCGAGCGUUGUCCGGAAUUAUUGGGCGUAAAGAGCUCGUAGGCGGCUUGUCACGUCGGUUGUGAAAGCCCGGGGCUUAACCCCGGGUCUGCAGUCGAUACGGGCAGGCUAGAGUUCGGUAGGGGAGAUCGGAAUUCCUGGUGUAGCGGUGAAAUGCGCAGAUAUCAGGAGGAACACCGGUGGCGAAGGCGGAUCUCUGGGCCGAUACUGACGCUGAGGAGCGAAAGCGUGGGGAGCGAACAGGAUUAGAUACCCUGGUAGUCCACGCCGUAAACGGUGGGCACUAGGUGUGGGCGACAUUCCACGUCGUCCGUGCCGCA